UAGGGAAUCUUCGGCAAUGGGGGGAACCCUGACCGAGCAACGCCGCGUGAGUGAAGAAGGUUUUCGGAUCGUAAAGCUCUGUUGUUAAGGAAGAACGUGUGUGAGAGUGGAAAGUUCACACAGUGACGGUACUUAACCAGAAAGGGACGGCUAACUACGUGCCAGCAGCCGCGGUAAUACGUAGGGUGCGAGCGUUGUCCGGAAUUACUGGGCGUAAAGAGCUCGUAGGUGGUUUGUCGCGUCGUCUGUGAAAUUCCGGGGCUUAACUCCGGGCGUGCAGGCGAUACGGGCUGACUUGAGUGCUGUAGGGGAGACUGGAAUUCCUGGUGUAGCGGUGAAAUGCGUAGAUAUAUGGAGGAACACCGGUGGCGAAAGCGGCUCUCUGGCUUGUAACUGACGCUGAGGCUCGAAAGCGUGGGGAGCAAACAGGAUUAGAUACCCUGGUAGUCCACGCCGUAAACGAUGAGUGCUAGGUGUUAGACCCUUUCCGGGGUUUAGUGCCGCAGCUAACGCAUUAAGCACUCCGCCUGGGGAGUACGACCGCAAGGUUG
rnacentral:rRNA from 1 species